UCCAACCUGAACCUCCCCUGGUGCAACUUAAGUCCAUUCUCUCUCAUCCUGUUGCUGUUAUCUGGGAGAAAAGGCCAACUUCCACAUCGUUACCGCCUCCUUUCAGGGAGCUGUAGAAAGGGAUAAUGUCUCCCCUGAGCCUCCUCUUCUCCAGACUGAACAAUCCUAGCUCCCUCAGCAGCUCCUCAUAAGACUCAUGCUCCAGAUGAACCAUUUUGCAGCCUUGCAAGCUUACAAGGCACUGCUAUGGUUAGCAGGAGACAAUUUUCUGUCCCUCUCUUAAACUUGAGAACCUGAAGGCUGUUGGAGGGGCUUUAGGAACAUGCAGUGUCCUGGUUUUCCAAAGUGUAAGACAGCACGGGAUAUGCUCUGUUAACGCACAGAUGAUCAAAGAGGAGAGCUGGCUUCAGCAGAACUCCUGCAUGUGUCUCAGCAAUUUGCUGAGAGCUGCUUGAAACCAUUUACUUUCAAGAGCAUGUUUAGUGGGCAUGGUGGUGAUGGGUUGAUGGUUGGACUAGAUGAUCUUAGUGGUCUUUUCCAACCUUAAUGAUUCUGUGAUUCUAUGACUCUAUGAUUCUGUGUCUGUGUUGUCUGAAAACAUCUGAGUGUGGCCUAAAGGAAUGGCCAGAGGGUGUCCUUCAGAGCACGUGGGAUGGGAGCUCAGGGCUGAGCUCGCUGCUCUGCCGGAGCCCUCUGAAAGGUGCCAGGCUGGCGGCUCGGCGGUGCCAGCCGUGUCCCCGGGUGCCCAUGAGCAGGUUCCUCUCGAGCCGCUCGCUGCCGGAAUGCAGGCAUAGCGUUUCCAUGAGUAAGCCUCACUCGCAGGGCUGCAUGUUUGCAGGAUGAGGCCAUGGAGGGAAUUAGCAAACUGCCAGCCCUUUGCGGGGCUGGCGAGGUGCACGCGGUGUGGAGCUGGGCAAAUUCACGCUUCAGAGCUUUUAAUUUCAUGCUUUCCAAGCAAGCACUUUUGUCUGUAGAAGCUGCAACAUCGUUUUUUUUUCCUGCAUAUAAUAUAAUACUUCUUUAAAAACUAGAAAAGUAGAGAUGGAAGAAAGCUGGGGCAGUUCUGUGACAUUUUUCUGUUUUGUACUCCCUGUGUGUACAAUGCAGUCCUGCUCUGUGCACUUGAGACAUGUCACUAAUAACUCAAAACUGCAAACACAGUGCUAAAAUCACACAGAGGCUGAGCUGUGCCCCUUUCCAGCACAGCAGAUAGCAGAUGAAGUGUGAGGGGUCCCCAGGCAAGGUCUGCAGGCUCAGUGCACCCAUGGAGCAGGUCCCCAUUCAGCCUUGUUGAGCACUGCAGCACCACUGUCCUCCCAUGAGGACUAACUAGCCUUGGAUUUUGGAUGCUGCUGUGAUGUGGCUGGAUCUGAGGCCACCCCUGGGAGCUGUGCACCGUGCUCUACAUUGUCUUAGCAAGGAAUGGAAGACCGCAGGGAAUGUAGCAAAAUUGCUGGGCUUGCUUCAUGAAAACGUAAAGAUCAUAGAAUCAUAGAAUGGCUUGGGUUGGAAGGGACCUUAAAGCCCAUCCAGUUUGAACCCCCUGCUGUAGACUGGUUGCCCCCCAGUAGAUCAGGCUGCGCAGGGCCCCAUCCAAUCCAGCUUUGAACACCUCAGUUUUUCUUUCUCCUAAUUCACUUCUUGCUCUAUGGUCCCAAACACCACCUUGGGUCUGCAAAUCAGUCCUUACCUGUUUUCUAGCCUUUUAAACCCAUUUUCUCCCAUCCAGCAUAUAGCACAUGGAAAACUUAAGGUUCAUGGCCACACUCCCCUCAUGGGUGUGAGCACAGUCCAAGCAAGUAAAUCCUGAGUGCAAGCAUUCACACAUGAAGAACUUCACACUCAGAAACAUGACCACACUAAAUUGCUGCCAGAGCUUUAAAGGCAACUUUUGAAAAUAUUGGCCCCACAUCUUGUAAUUCUGGAGCAAAUAUCUUGAUUCAUUAGGGGAAUGUCAGCUCACUGCACCUAGAGCUGCAUCCUGGGGAUGCAGGGAUGGAGACAGCUCUCUGCUUGUACAUAAAUGUAGCCUGGGCUGAUUAGCUACCAGAGGAAAUGGAAACCUUUAUGAUUUCUACCUUAUUUUCCAUAUCUAUGCAAUUACAAAGACUUGAUGUAGAAGAGUUUCUUGCAAGUAUAUCAAGCAUAUGCUCCCCAGAAACACUCAGAACAAUGUUUUUGGCUCCUAUAACAAAUCCUAGCAGAAGAAUCAAUUUCCCAACAGUCAAUGUAAGUUUUUAUUAAGAAUGAGCAUUUUCCCUGCCUUUCCUUCCCCUCCCAUUCCCCUUCCCCUUCUGCUUUUCCCCUCUCCUUUCUCUUUCUCUUUCCCUUUCCUUUUUUUUUUUUUUUUCUCCAAUUCCUGCAGUAUUAUUGAAGUUCAUUAUUAUUAUUUUAUGUGAGGUCAUGGCAAUCAGUUUGAAUUGUACCUAUGCAAAUGUGCAGUUUGUAAAUCUCAGAUCAGUACUGGAACAUGUAGGUGGUGUCUCUAUAUAAACCACUUUGAGGCUGCAAAAUCGAGCAUUGAUAAGUUAGAAGAUUCCAAAAUGAAGGUAUUUACCCCCCAUUUCCUUUUAGCUCUCUCUCAAGUCUAUCUUAUGGCUUUCUCAGGGGAGGUUCAAGCUAAAUAUUAGGAAAAAAUUAUUUUGGAAAAGAGUGGCCAAGCAUUGGAACAGGCUGCCCAGGAAAGUCACCAUCUCCGAAGUGUUCAGUGAAUGUGGAGAUAUAGCACUUGUGGACAUGGUUUUAGUGGGCAUGGUGGGAUUGAGUUGACAGUUGGACUAGAUGAUCUUAGUGGUCUUUUCCAACCGUAAUGGUUCUACCAUUCUAUUUUUGUGCAUCACUCUAGCAGGGAGCGCUCGCUCAAUGCUUUGUCAGCCCAGUGGUUGCUCCAACACAUGUCCUGUUGAUGAGGUGGGGAUCUUAGUGCAUCACACCUGUCCCCACGUGAGCCCUGGUUGCUCAGGACCCUGCAGUGCUGCUCUUCAAGCAGGGGCUCUUGCCUGUCCAUGGAUCUUACAGCUGGUCUCACUUUCAGCCCUCUCAGGCUUCUUCCAAAAAAACUCCCUUGCUUUCAUUCCCACAGCAGACCCAGGAGAGAUUUAGGGUCUAGUUCUUGAGUUAUAUACUAUCAUAAUGCCUGUCAUGGAAAGGGAUAGAGCAAUGAGUUCUCCUCUGUUGCAAAGCCCUUGUAUUUAACGCUGUGUUUUACAUACACUAAUGAACAUGUGAUGGGCAAGCCCUGCUCAUCUCUGUAAGUGCGAAGUACCAAGUGGGAGGAAAUGUUCAUAUAGACAGAAAAUUACUUUUACCCAUAUUUCCCAAUAUUUGAAGCUACAUGAUCCAUCACUACACAAAAUCCAGUCCUGACACUGUGUCACCAGGGCAGCAAACAAUUUACCUGAUAGUAUGAGAAGGACCAUGUACUUCAGUAGAACCAAGCACACACAGGGAUAUUCCCAUAUUUGACCUGUUUGCUUCAACACUGAUGUGAAAAGCCAUGGGUUUUAGUUUUUGACAUAUUGUGGGUUAAAACUUUUAGACAGUGUAUUGAGCAAACUAAUUCUAUGUGUAACCAAGGUUAAAUUUUACCCUUCCCCCCAGCCCUCACCUCUUAUUACACAUUUUGUUUUAAUCGCGAUUUGCUUGGGUUCAGCUGGUUCUAUCUGAGGGCUUUGCCCUUCUCUCUUUUGCUACUCUUAGCUACACUUAAAGCAAAGGAAUGUUAAUUGAACCCUACUUGAAGGAAAAGGUACAAUUAAUAACAAGAAAAUUCAAUUACUGAACAUCUACCGGUGACAAAGUGCUGUAGAAAAUGUUUUGAUCUGAACAAAACACUUCGCCCUGCACGAACUGAAAUAUUGCCUGAUAUCGAGGGCUUUUCAUAAGCAAGUGGAAACAAAUGUGAUUAUGAUAGGCAGAAAGGAAAAAUCAAUGUUUUGCUUUGAAAAUUAGCCUUUUCUCGGUUGUUUUUUCUGGCUGAGACAGUCUGACAAGACUUUAUGAAAUAUUUUGAUCGGCUUGAAAUUGUCUCUCCAUCUUUUUUUCUUUUUAACCAAAAGGAUGUAUUUUUGGCUGAAAAUUUUUACUGUAUCCAGAAAGGGAAAUCAUUCUGUCUAGGGUAUUGUAAAAAGCCCCGAGUUUCAUUGGCUUUUAAUGGAACCUUAAUAGUAGUUGGCAGCGUAGAUGAUGAAGCUGGAAGGCUGCAGUGAAAUUAAUAUAAUCAGAAGUUGUUCUGAGGCUCACAACCAUGAGAAAGCUCUCAAAGCCCAUAACUAUUCACCCAGCCAUAAAAGUGGCUGAUCUCAUUUCUUCCCAUUCGGACCCAUCCUUGGGAGAAUGGCUCAUGACUGCAAGAAGCCCACGAGGGACUGUGCUAUUGCUAUCGAUUUCCGACAGAAGAUGUGCAGAUACUGCAGCAAGGAGGGGAAGGAUCAGCUUUGCAAAAAAGAAGUGUAUUGAAAUCUGGAAAAGCUCUUGCAUCUGGGAAGGAGGGGAUAAAUUUUAAUCAAUGUCAGUGUUUCCAGGCGAUUUAGAAAAGCCUGACUAUGCAGUAAGCUGCAAUGACCUCUGGCAGACUUUUAAUCUACAUGCAGCGUUAUAACUUGCUUGUUUUAUAAAUGAUGAACACUGCUUCCACAUCACUUGGAGCAGCUGCAUCUGAGUGAGCUUGGAGCUGAGGCGAAACAUGGUAUUUCUUCAAAAAUUCCUCUGAUACUGCCUAAAACAGUUAGGAGAAGCACCCCCAAGCCACCUGGGCUGAUCCUUGUGGCUCUGAGGGGCACAGUUUAGUGGGCAUGGGGCUGACAAGUUGAAGGUUGAACUAGAUGAUCUUAGUGGUCUUUUCCAACCUUAAUGAUUCUAUAAUUCUCUUGCUCCCCUGUGUUGUUUAUUUCUCCCUCUAAUAUAUUCCCAUGAUCUUUCCUUUCUCGUCAUUACUGCUGUAUAUUCAGAUAGUUUUUGGCUUUCAUAUUGGUUUGUCUAUUGCAGAACCUUUAAUAAUGGUUAUUUCCUGGUAGUGAAUGCGCGACUUGGUCUAGCGGGACCUGUUUGUAGCAUAGUUUUCUAUAAUUACCCAAAAUUUACACAGCAAUUCCAGGCCUAUUAUAUGGGGCAUGGUAUGUAAUUACAGGCAUAACAUAUUAGGUCCUAAUAACAGCAAAUAUAUCAUUACACAAAUCAUUCAUGUAACUGUGCUGAUAUUUUUAUGUGGAGUAAGUGAAUACAAUUACUAAUAAUUGCCAUACACAUCUUACAGCUGCAGUGUAACUGGUGCCACUAUGACACAGAGCAGGGCAGCAGCUGGGAAACUCCCAGGGAAAUGCCUGUGAAACACUGCAUCUAAAAGCCAAGGUGGAUUUGGGUGCAUAUACGCAUAUAUGCAGUAAAUAUGACAAUUUGGGAGGGAUCCACAUUGCCUUGCUUAGAUUGUGUGUUUCCUAGUUACGUGUGUGAGAUGGUUCUCCAUACCUGUAGAGGUUAUGGAGAUUCUCCAGGAGGCAUAGAUGGUCCUCCAGGCUGUAGACAGAGGGAGAGAAUCCUCCAAAAGCAGCAGCAAGCAGAGUUGGGCUAUCAGGUCACUGAAGAGAGAUGAGAAUCUCAGGUUGGAUAUUAGGAAAAAUUUCUUCUCUGAAAGAGUGGUGAUGCAUUGGAACAGGCUGCCCAGGGAGGUGCUGGAGCCAUCGAUAUUGGAGGUGUUCAAGAAAAGGGUAGAUGUGGCACCGAGGGACAUGGUUUAAUGGGCACAGGGGGGAAGGGUUGGGGCUGGACUAGAUGAUCUUAGUUGUCCUUUCCAACCUUAAGGAUUCUAUGACUCUAUGAGGAAGUCUUGCAUUCCGCCUUCCAGUUUGGAAGAGCUAGUCUUGGCCCACUAUGUGUAAUAGAAGUACUUUGAGCCUGUAGGGAAAUUGUUAGUGCUGGCAUCUGUCAGGCAGCACUCGUGUGCUGUGAGUUAAUGACACAGAUGUAUUAUGUGGCUAAAUGUGAGCCUCUGCAUGCAGGUUUAUGGGAGAUUUGGGUUGAUGCAUAUGGCUUUACGGGGGAAUUGGGCUGAUUCAAACAUGUUAGGGGAUUGAUUUAGGCAUGGCCAUCCUGGCACCCCGAUGUGCAUCAUUUCAACCCUUGGCACGGAGGGCAGCUUGGUGAAGGACAGAUGCAAUGGGGACUUUGUUUCUCCAUGCCAGUAUUUGAACAAGCUGAAGUGACGACUUCUGUUUCAACAGCUGCCUAUUUAUAUCCAUGGAACGGUUUAGAUUGAAAACUUUUUUCUUCACUGAUGGGUUAACUUGCCUUCUGGCACUGUCUGCAACAGCCCAUCAGCUCCUUUGAUGACACUAACCUGGAUUUGCAGUGCUGAACCCCCUUUUUCCACAUUAUCCAAGUCAAUGGGAAUUUUGUUCACCUCUCCAUAUCAUCUCAGAGGAAUGAUAGGCUCCAUAGGCUGGAGUCUGCCCUAAGGCAUGCGAAGGGGCAUGUGUCUGGGAGACAGUUCAUGGUGCUAGAGAUUUAUUAAGUCAAAGCUCUGCAGAAAAGCAGGAGUUAUUAAUUCAGGCACCACUCUGCUAGUAGGAACGGAACCUGGCUUGCAUUUCACCAGCUUUGCUCGGUCAGAGCUCUCCAUGUCACCUUCUUGCCAUCCUAUUUCAGCAUGGAAAUACCCCAGUAUGAGCAGGGACAUUGAACUGAAGAUGUGGGGGCUGGCUCCAGCAUGCCAUAACAAUUUUACCUGGUCACAGAAGCACUGACGGGUCAACCUGGUCAUGGAUAGUUGAGCAGGUGCCCAGAGUUGGCAGUUGGGGCUGGCCCGGGACACACAGAGUGGUGUUACAAAUGACCACUACCAUUCGUCUAGCCUUGUCUCACCUCCCACUGGGACAGAAAAGACCAGCCAGAAAAUGUCACGCGUCCUCUUGCAGAGCAUUGCUCCUGAGCAAAAGACUGAGAAAGUUCCUUGGCCAAUCAUCAUCUUGAAAAGGGGAUUCUGCAAAAAAGCUGCUUGCAGUCUUCAUCUGGAUUGUGCAACCUUUGCCAAGAACAGAUGUAACUGGCUGGAAGCUCUUCUGAAUCCUCCCUUCUCUGUGAUUACUCCUGGAAAGAGAAAGACACAGCAUCAGAACAGU